rnacentral:lncRNA from 1 species
AACAGUAUACCAAUUAAAUCCUAGUCCUCCAUAAGAUAGAUCAGAAUUCAUUAACUUGUGGUACCUACACAAUCAUUGGGAAUGGCCUGUCUUUUUAUAAUAAAGAAAAUAACAAAAAGUACUAUAUACUCUACUUCCUGAUAAGCAUCUGGCUCUACAAAAAAGUAUCCACUAGAACAACCUUCCCUAGCAUUAAAGGGUCGCUUGAACCUUUAUGACAGCAGAACCAUUCAAAAAGCCGGAGAAACACUGCAGUCUUAUUGGUCUACAUGGCCAGACGUUUAGAUAAGCAUCAACCACUACUGAGCAAUAUCAACAUGUGUAGUCCCAUAACAUGUAAUAUAUUAAUGAAUACAACAAACUCAUUCAAAGCAAAUGUGCUAGUGAUGGCUCAAGGGAUAACAAGUAGAUGUGGUUAAUACAAUGGCAGUAUAUAACAUGUAAAUGGACCAGCAGCUGGUAGUGGUAGCUCAGCUGGUUGGCACCUACCUCUCCAAUUGAGGGCCUCAGUUCAAACCUGAGUGGUGGUGAAUAACCACUGUUUCUAAUGUGUGUGUGUGUGUGUGUGUAACAUUUUAAUGCAUCAUUGGACCUGGUUUGAGAUGUCUCAGCAGCAAAAUUAUUUAGGCCUUCAGACUGCUUUUCAAUGAAUACAGAAAAGCAGGCCUCAUACUAACCCAGCCAGAAGAGCCUAAGCAUUGGCACCAUAUAAGUGCCACUAUCCAGAUGGACUGUUGGAAACUUUAUUCUCAGGCUUAAACAGAAUAUCAACUCCAACAAGACUACCAGGAAUAUUGUGCCAACUAUGAGCCAGUCUUGUCCUAGGCCAAACAUGGACAGCAUCUGCACCAUUACCAAGCAAAUCAUUAAAAAUGCAAUGUUGCUUGAAAUGCCAUACACAGAAUUCAUAGAAGAAUGAAGUGUAAACACACAUUCACCAGAACCAACAUUGAAAAAGUCCAAGAGUCCUGACAAUACAUGAGGAGAGCACCUCAUGCAAUUGUCAGAAAGUAAAACAGAAGGAAUAAUAACCCCACUAUUCUCAGCAUAAAUUCCUUUGACAAAACUCAAAUUCCUUGUGGCUAAGCAUGGGCACUUGCAUAUCUCAUUGUAUAGUCAAGAUUUUAUUCCCAAUGCUAUCUAAUUAAUGUUUUAGUGGCAAUGGAGUCAUGUAAGGGUAGCCCAACACAUUUUAGUGGCCUAGACAAUUACUUUCAAAUGCUGUAGAUCUUCCUAAAUGAGGAAAAAGUUUGAUGAUAUAAAGAGAGGGAAUUACCUUUGCACUAGAAGUAACAAAUCACUUUUGAAAAUUUUGUCGCGAAGGUGUAACAGGCAUCCCAAGAUUUCCAUCACUUUUCCACACAACCAAAUGAAUCAAACAGAGAAUACGACAAGCACUUUGUCAAGCAGACCAGCCUAUAUAUAUGAACACCAUAUCAGCGAUAUGAAGUAGGAAGAGCACAAGAUGGAGAAGAUGGGUCCUGCAAGUUCAUCCUCCUCUUUAGUCUUUUGAAAUAUGGAAGUAUCAUGACAUUCAAGAGUUGUCACCAGGCCUUACAUGAAGAAGCAGAGAGUGGAGUGCAGCCAAGGAUGAUCUGCCGGCAUCAACUUAAGAGAAAAUUCCUCUACUGCAGACUGUCGGCAGGUUGUCCUUGGCUACAUUUUGCCCUCGUCUUCUCAUGCAAGGCUCGUGGAAGGGGCAGAUCGCAGCUAUCCGCAACCAUGUUAGCAUGGAUUCCUAAAUAAUGUGGUUUCUUAAGUGCAUGUUGGUGCUAGAAAUAUGAAGUGUAAGGCCUCUUCAUUUGCAAGCAAGAAAUUCAUUUUGUUGCACUUCUGCAGAAUGCCCACAUGUGCUUGUGUACACACGUAGAGAGUGGAAGGGGGGGGGGGGGGGUAAGGGGGCGGCAUUGGAUAACUAUCUUAUAAUUUUAUAGAGAUGUCAAAAUAUAAUAGCAUAUUUUUUUAAAAUAGCCUUCAUUCAUUGAUAUCCAGACUGGAGCAAUCUUGCUGAAUCGCAAUACAUCAAGGUAUGCAAAUGAUUUUGAUUAUAGAUAAAACAAUUCAAAUUUAACAAUAUAAGUACUUAAUAAACAAAGUUAUUUAUCUGAUACAAACAAGGUCGGUGGAACCGGUACCGGGACUUGUACCGGUUGCCCAACAAUACAGUAUGGUUCAGUACGGUGCUAUGCCGACUUGUGGCAUAUCGACAAAGGGAAGCUAGAGAGAGAAGGGGAUAGGGAGAAGAAAAGAGAGGGAGGGAGGGGCCUUUCACGCCUCCUCUCCUCCUGCCAUGCCAUAACAAAAGCGUGGAAAGGAGAGAGAGACAGAUGGAGGGAGAGGGAGGGUGGGAGAGAGAGAGAGGCCAAGAGAGGGAGAGGGCAUUCGAGCCCCCUCUUCUCUGGUGCUAUAUAAUAGGGGCAGAGCCCUUGUUUCGAAAUGAAAAGAUUAAGGGGAUAGAGCCCCUAUUUCGUUUCAAAAAAAGGGCAUUUUGAAACGAAAAGGUCAAGGGGAUAGAGCCCCUAUUUCUUUUCAAAAUAGGAGCUCUGCCCCUGUUACAUAGCGCCGAAGGAGAGGGAGCUCGAAAGCCCUCUUCCUUUCUCACUCUCGGCCUCUCUCUUCCCCCUCCCUCUUCCUCCCUCCCUCUCUCCCUCUCUCGUCCUCUCUUUCUUCCUCUCCCUCUCCCUGUCCCUUGCCAGUGUUUUGAAUUGAGGGGCGGAACCGUAUUGAUCCACUUUUGGUAUAGCUUGGUUGCCCCAAACCAAGCGGUUUAGGAUGGUACAGUGAACCAUGGAUACAAGCAUGUACCUCUUGAUUUUGUGAGGCCACUUGCUGAGUACUUGCACACCUAUUUAAUCACUACCUGAAUAAAUAGAUAAUUGGAAGACUUGUAUUGUACUAUUGAUGAAUAUAUACUUAAUAACACAUUUUGCAGUUGCGUUACUCCAUUGAAACCUCAAGAGAAGAACUGAUGGUUCAUGGACUUUUAGAAGUAACUUAGGAGCUGUAGGUGAAGGUAUAGCUAUGGAAACAAAAGCUUUAGAAAUUGUAUGAAGGUUCAACAAAAACACAAGGGUAAAUUGUGACUCCAUACUCCAUUUUGCAAUAGAAGGCAUCAUUGCUCAUAAUGAAUGUUAAAGGCCAAAACAUAAGGAUAACAUGAAAAAACAAUUGUGCAGGAAGUGUUGUUCCCCGCUUCCAGGGAAUCUUUAAUAUAUAUGGAAUUGUAAAUAUAAUUUUGCAGAUCAUGGCAAGUUUCUUGUCAUUUAAUUUUUAUUCAAGGAAUUUUUACAGUUCUCAGUUGUUCUUGCAACAAAAUUUUAUUAUGUUGAAUUUAAGUUCUUGCAUGGUUCCUUCUUUGUUUGACAAAUGCAUUUCCCUUUAAUAUGAGGCACUUGCUUCAUUUCCAAUUCUCUCGAGCACUAUAAAGAAAGCCAUAGUCGAUGUGUAUCAACCUUAUUAAAAACCCUCUUAGUAUAUAACCACUAAAAGAUUAGUCCCAUGCUUUCAUAUAUGUAAUCUUGCCAUUCAAAAACUAAAAUCAAACAUGUGCAUUUGCAUGUGCUUCAUGCUAGUUGAUUCGACAUUCGUUACAACCAGACAAUUUUGAGAUAUUAGAGAUAUGAAGCCAAAGACAAACAAACAAACUCAUGAUUUAUGAGCGGACAAUCUUUUUUUUUUUUUUUUGUAAGGGAGAAGGGAGGAAGUGAAAUACUUCCCCUCAAAUUUUAUUCAGUAGAAAAUAAAUCUGUACAAGAGAAAAGUAACAAAAGUUACAAAAUCCGAGAGAACAAGGGAGCAAGGGUACUCAUAAGCUGAUCGUGGCUCUCUUUUGCUUUGCCAUCACAAAGAUUACCCUGUAGAAGGUGAAGAUAUUUUUUAUCAAAGAAGAUUCUAGAAUUUCGUUCCAAACAAACUAGCCGACGCAUUGCCAUGACAAGCUGAUCCCAGGCUCUUCUCAAAGGAGAUUUAAUUUUUCUACAGCACCAUGAAGUCUAAUGGUCCUGAAGAUUAGUCGGCAGCCUAGAGAACUUGAGGUGUGUCUUCAAGACUGACCAAAAGGUUCUUAUGAAUGGACACUUUAUAAAAAGGCGUUUUACAGACUCAACAUUUGCAGCACACAAGGGACAUCCAGAACUAACUCCCCAACCCUUCUUCGCAAGUACCUCUCCCAUAUAUAGUCUAUUUUCGAGAGCAAGCUAGAGUAAUAUUUUAGCCUUCUCAGUAGUAGCUGCUGCCAUCCAAACAGGUGUACAAUAAGGCUAAAGGAUACCCAAUUCAUGGUUUAGAAAUUUGCAGAAGGAAUUUACUGAAUAGUUUCCACUACUUGUGAGUUUCCACACAGGUGCAUCUGCCAUUCUGCUUGGCCUCAUGAGUGGACAAUCAAUACCGAGUUUAGAAUGUGUUAAAGUAACAGAUCUAAAACACAGAAAAGAUGACGGUGAUGUAAUGCAACGGGUAAUACAUAGCCUGAUCAAGACAAACUUCAUGCUUUUCUUAAUGUUUUACUUCCACACGUACGUGAUCGAUCCUUUGAAAAUUCCCCUACUUUUCUAUGUAAUAGUUGGUGCAAUUUUGUACACUUUUAUCUCAAAUAUCCAUCUAGUCAAAUCUCAACUAAUAUAGUUUAUUUAGUCGUAAUAUCUCAUUGCAGUUUUUGGACUUCGAUGAUGCCAGACCUGAUAGCUCCCAAUUAUGAUUCUUCUAAACAAGUUUCUCCAGUAGAUUCCUCACUCCGUUUUUUUUGGGGAAAAAAAAGAAAACUUUCGUGCUUCUUUAAUCAAUCCCACACAUAAUGCGACUGAUAUGAUCUACAUUUCUAGUUUUCCUCUCCCUCAGCAAGCUAAUGUCGAAGAUCUACAACAGAUACAAAAUAUCUUCAACCAACAGGAAAGAGAUGAGGAAGAACUUCCCAAACCUUAACCGAUACAUGAUCGAAAUCCCUCGGCAAAUCCUCGAGAUCCUUCUUUCCUCGUCUCCGUGCGAUCGGAUAAACCUAGGGAUGGAAAUAUCUCGAAUAAAGGGAAAAAACAAUUGUUGGCGGGGAGAGAGGGAGAGAGAGGAGGGGCGAAAGUUUUCGGGGUCUCGCCGGCGUCGCCGCGCACGAGCGCGUUAUUGAG